UACAGGGGGGGCAAGCGUUGUUCGGAAUUACUGGGCGUAAAGGGCCAGUAGGCGGCCAACUAAGUCCGACGUGAAAUCCCCAGGCUUAACCUGGGAACUGCGUCGGAUACUGGAUGGCUUGAAUUCGGGAGAGGGAUGCAGAAUUCCAGGUGUAGCGGUGAAAUGCGUAGAUAUCUGGAGGAAUACCGGUGGCGAAGGCGGCGACCUGGACGGACAUUGACGCUGAGACGCGAAAGCGUGGGGAGCAAACAGG
rnacentral:rRNA from 1 species